rnacentral:rRNA from 1 species
AAUGAACGCUGGCGGCGUGCCUAACACAUGCAAGUCGAGCGAGAAAGUCCCCUUCGGGGGCGAGUAAAGCGGCGCACGGGUGAGUAACGCGUGGGUAACCUGCCCUUGAGUGGGGGAUAACCAGCCGAAAGGCUGACUAAUCCCGCAUACGACCGGCAGACACAAGUCUGUCGGGGAAAGAUGGCCUCUGCUUGCAAGCUAUCGCUCUUGGAUGGGCCCGCGUUGGAUUAGCUAGUUGGUGGGGUAACGGCCUACCAAGGCUGCGAUCCAUAGCUGGUUUGAGAGGACGACCAGCCACACUGGUACUGAGACACGGUCCAGACUCCUACGGGAGGCAGCAGUGAGGAAUAUUGCGCAAUGGGGGAAACCCUGACGCAGCGACGCCGUGUGAGCGAUGAAGGCCUUCGGGUCGUAAAGCUCUGUCAGAGGGAAAGAAAGGGUCGGCGGAAUAAUACCCGCCGACAUUGACGGUACCCUCGGAGGAAGCACCGGCUAACUCCGUG